AGCUAGACUUUAAACUUUAAAGAUAUUCGAAGCUAAUUAUUCCUCUAGCUGUUAAAGUUGGGAAUAAUUAGGACAACAGCCUGGGAACAACAAGAAAGAAAGCUGCUCUCCAUUUAUCUAUCGCAUCUUAUCUCCUAAUCACUAUAAGAGACACCCAAGAAAUAGUUAAGGGACUGUUUUUGUCAUAUACAAAAAGACAUAUUACCUAUUUUAGCAUGUAGCAAUUCUAAACCAACUUGAACUAGCACAAAGCAACCAAAAAUGUGUUGUGGAGAUGGUGAUUGCAGGCCUUUGGGCUUCUUACUCGGUCUACCCUUUGCUCUACUUUCUCUUCUUCUAUCCAUCGUCGGUGCUAUCAUCUGGAUCGUCGGAUUGCUGUUGACAUGCAUAUGUCCGUGCUGUUUAUGCGUUACGGUGUUGGUUGAGUUUGCUAUUGAGCUGAUCAAAGCUCCAAUUCAUGUUAUGGGAUGGUUCACAUCCAAGAUUCCUUGUUAAUUUUGCUAUUAGCAUUUUUUGGAUGCUUUUAUGAUAUUAUUAAUUUGGUUAUUUGCUUGUUGUUAGUUAAGUUUAUUUUCGAGAUUUGAGUAACCGUGUAUAUGUUAUUAGUUUGUCUAUGAUCCUAUUUGUUAUCAGUUUAUGUUGAUGGUCCGAUGAUUCCUUUUAUAGAAAAAAUUAGAUAUUUUAUAAAAUAUCCGAAAUAUAUAGAUAUUUUGGGUAAAAAACAAAUCAAAAAUAUAUUUUUUGAACAUACAUAUAGAUUAGACCUAUAUUAAGUAGGCAAGUGAUUAACUGUAACAAAACAUGAUGUUGAAAGAUAGUGUUUGGAUUUGAUUAUGUUGUUUGAUAUCACAAUAAUCAGAUAAUUAACUAUUUGAGUGUUUGGCAAAUAUAUAUUUAAAAAAAAUAAACAAGUGAAAAUUCUUUUCUAAACGCAAAUAAUAAAAUUUUGGAAAACUGCGUUUUGUUGAAGUGGGGGGGGGGGGAGCUGCUUUUGGAAAACUGCGUUUUGUAACUUUCUAAACGCAAAUAAUCAAUUUUUUAAUUUUUUUACCCAAAUACUCAAAACUAAUUAUUUAUGAUUUCAAAACUCAAUAAUCUAAAAAUCUCCUUCAAAACUCAACCUCAAACACACUCUAAUAACAAGUGAGGCAGUGAGUUAACAUACACCCUAAAGCGGCCAUUUGUCAGUGGUUAUAAUUGGGUCAUUUUCGCCAAGGUAUUGGAUUGUUGAUAUCUUGAAAUGAUUCUUUUAUGUCGUUCUCUAAGUUUUCUUAUAGUUAUUUAAUUUCUAUAUAAUCACAUGCGCAAUUACAUCCAUUUUGUACAUUUAGUAGAUGGAAAUACUGCUGCGUUGGCGAAACUUUCUGAUCAUAUCAUAGGUAGAUCAUUUUCUCCAUUUUUAUGCCCGAUAAGCAAAGCUUAAGUGACAUAGCGUGUACGGUCUGAGCCAGUCAUGAGCUACUUAGGAUUGACUGCCUAAAAGGUUAAAUCGUGCCAACCUUAUACAAGCCUCAGCUCAUUCUUAAGUUAUAUAAUCUUACUUUUUUUUAAUUCUAGGUUGCGAAGUUUAUAACUUGGGGACAGGUAAAGGAACAUAUGUUCUAGAGAUGUUAUCAGCCUUUGAAAAGACAUCAAGAAAGUUACUUAACUUCCUUUUCUGAUUCUUUUCGUUAAUUUUGUUUAGUGUUUUAGACCACUAACAAAUAGUCGAACAUUUGUUUUGGAGUUUCAUGAACAAUGAUUUUGGUCUAAUUUAAACAAACUUUAAAUUUGUUUUGGACUUUCAAGAACAAUGAUUUCGGUCAAGUAUUAUUUUUAUGGGGAAACACCCAUUACACUAGCUUGCUAUUGGAGUCUUUGAGCGUCGCCUUGGUCUUGCACUACUGCUUUGCCCGACCCACUCCUUCCAUUUAGAUUCAAUUUUUAUAUGCUCUUACUUUCUGGGUUAAUCUUUUUAGGCCCAUCUAUUUUCAUAAAAAUAGAAACAGGUAAAUUGGUAUGAGGUUUUUAUGAUGGAUGAUGCCUUUUGUAGUUAGCACUAAGCAGAUUAACUUUAAUUGGUAGGCCAUUAAGGUAGAUCUUUCAAGUCCUAAUUUUGAUAAAAGUUAAAUAGGGAGCUAAAUGCUAAAAAGAUGGAUGUCUUUUGUAGUUAGCACUCUGUAAAUUGGUUAUUAGAACCUGAAGGUUUAUGCAUAAUGAGUUAAAUACAUAAGUUGGUUUGGACUAGUUAUGUAAUUAGUUGAUUUAUGUUUAGUUGGUUUUGGGUCAAUGUAGUGGUUUGGUUAGUUGGUUUCGGCUGGGCCUUGGUAGGGGCUUUAGGCCCGUUUGGUUUUAUAUACAUUGAUAACCCUUGUGUCAUUUAUGGUUAAUCAGCUUUUGGAAGCAAUAGAGCUAGCCGAAACACAAGUUCUCUUUGUAUUCGACAUCUUUUGGUGUAUGCAAAGAUAAGUUUUUCAUUCAUAUCAUAUUGUGUUUAUUGUUCUUGAAUCGGGUUUUGUGUUUGGAUUCCACCCGAAUACAAAACUCUUGAUUGAUACCAUUGCAAGAUCAUAUCCAGCAAUUUACAUUAGUUUUCAAAUGAUCUUGAGUGUUAUUAUCUUAAACAAGGUGUUCGAUAUUUUUUCUUUGAAUUUAAUAGUAUCUAUUCAUGCUCUUGCUUUCUUUUGCUAAGAUGGUGAUCAAAUGAUUUUAAAUAAACGUUUUAGAAAAGUGGUUAUGUAUAUCUUAGGAAAAAAGACCCUUUCCUAAGAUAUAUACAAUAUGAGUAUCCCAAAGUCACUUAUAUGUUUGAGGAGCUUAAGCUAAGACGUAAGUUUGAUUUCACAAUGUCAUGGGUUCUUUGAUAGAUGUGUUGAGAUUUGACUUUAUUGGUGUUUACUUUUUUACACCUAUGUUUUAUUUUUGUUAAUUUUCUUUUUGCUCUAAACCUUUAGCGUAUACCGAUAGAUGUUGCUCGGUUGGCAGGGAUUGGAGUUCCGAUGACAUUGAAGAUGAAUAAUUUUAAUGGAGUUCAAGAUGACAUGGCUGGGGUAAGAAAAUGUGAAAGCCAAAUAAAAGCUAGCUGGACAGCACUGAAGGCUUGGAAAAGUGGCUAUAAAAGUUAUCUAAAUAAAGAAAUUGUUUUAUUAAAUAAAAUAGGGUUUAUCCCUAUAAACAUGUUUGUAAUGUAAACUUGGGAAUUUCCUAUGUGUUUAAUAUUAUAAAAGUGUGGUAUUUUACUCUGAUAAAA